GUGACCUGCGGAAGGAUCAGUAUCGAAUCGUUGACACGAGCUGUCGCUGGCCUUCGAAAGGGGGCACGUGCACGCUCUGUUACACAUCCACCCACCCCUGUGCACCUUUUGUAGUUCUGUGGUCGGGAGGCUCUGCUUCCCUUCUGCGGCUCUACGUCUUUACACACACGCUCACGUGAAAGAAGUCUUGUGGAAUGUACGCCGCGUUUAACGCAAUACAAUACAACUUUCAGCAACGGAUCUCUUGGCUCUCGCAUCGAUGAAGAACGCAGCGAAAUGCGAUAAGUAAUGUGAAUUGCAGAAUUCAGUGAAUCAUCGAAUCUUUGAACGCACCUUGCGCCCUUUGGCUAUUCCGAAGGGCAUGCCUGUUUGAGUAUCAUGAACACCUCAACUCUCACGUUCCUCGUGAUGAGCUUGGACUUGGGGGCUUUGUUGGCCUGUGGGUCAGCUCUCCUCAAAUGAAUCAGCUCGCCGGUGUCUGGCGGCGUCAUGGGUGUGAUAACCGUCUACUCUCGUGAUCGCCUGCAAAGUAAACCUCUGGUCUGCAGAGGUUCGCCGGAGCUUAUAGAUGUCUCUCCUCAGUGAAGACAGCCGUCUGAAGUUCGAUCUCAAAUCAGGUAGGACUACCCGCUGAACUUAA
rnacentral:rRNA from 1 species